GCCGGGCGUGAUGGCUCAUGCCUGUAAUCCCAGCACUUUGGGAGGCCGAGGCAGGUGGAUCACCUGAGGUCAGGAGUUCAAGACCAGCCUGGCCAACAUGGUGAAACCCCGUCUCUA
rnacentral:SRP_RNA from 1 species